CGAGGACACCUUUCAUCGCGUCAUCUGUCGUUGGCACGUCAGGAAAAGCUGAUGAUCCAUUCAUGAGUCCUUCGUGUGAGAAUCGUACUAAACACUAGGUUACUCCUGUGGGGUCUUCAUCACAACCAUUACGACAAGACUGUGCUGCAGUACCUGUCCGUCCAUUACUGUCUCAAUCACUAAGACCGGCAGCAUCUUGUCAUGCACCUUCAAGGCAGCCAAUCAGACUUGAAAACAGUGUGAUCAAGGGCUAUCAUAAGUUUAAAAUUAGACCCCCGUUAACAGAU